UCAAGAGGGACUGAUGAAAUCUCAUUAUAGCCUGUCUCGUGGCCAACGUUGAACCAGGGACCUACUCAGUUGAAGACAAUAGUGUCAGCCGCUCUGCCUCCAUUUUCAGCGUAGUUUAUCUUCGAUGUGUGUACAGUAGGGGUCGGGAACCUUGAGCCUGCGGGCCGAAUGUGGCCCUCGUAACCAUUCUAUGUGACCCACCUGUCACAUGAUCUGUAAAUUACUCACAGCGUGAAGGACAAAUAUUUCCUGCUCCUGAAGAAGGUAGACUUAAAUGUGUACAUAUUAUGUAAUCGUUCGGGCUAAGAAUCGCGAAAGUAUAUUUUGAUCAAGGAGUUAUUAAUGUCUUUUAUUGAGCCAAGGAAAAUUGUUGUGCUGUUCAGAUCGAAUGAAAUUGCCGUCGUAUAAAUGACUUGAGUUUUUUUUUUAUAAAAUUGACAAUGACUUGAAAUAAAACCUGUUUGAAAACGAGGAGCCAACUGCUUCUUUAUGCUAAUAUAUAUAAGCAAACUAUUUUAUAAAACAGCAAAUAGGUAUUUUUUGUUACUCUGUUUACGUAAGGAUAAUUUAGCAUUGAUCAUUUCUUUCUUUCGUAACUUUGGGAUUUCUCUAAUUUUACAAGUACGUUAUGACCGAGAUUGUAAUCUUAUUUUGGAUUUUGUGUAUCUGGUUUUAAACAGCGUGUAAUGUCGCGUUACCUACAAAUCAUAGCCAUAGUUAGUUUACGCAAGUUCAUCUCACAUUCUCUGGUUAAAAUCCCCUGUUCUAUAUUAUAUAGUCACGUAGAUGCGUUACGAAACCAAAUUAGAAGUUCUCUAAAACGCGUCCUGUACUAACGGACGAAUCGUGUGACGUUUAUCUGUCACCUGAAAGCUAUAAUUUUAAAGUUCUCAUGGAUUCCAAUGUUACUAUGUUCAUGCGGUAUUUCGCAACGUUUUAAUAAAACAAAUUUUGCUCUGUCGUUAUACCGCGGCCAUAAUGCAAAUGUUCAAAGUAUAUGUUACUACAAUUUAUGUUUCAAACCCUUUUAAACAUGAAACUCAUCUAAAUAGGGCCUAUUUAAAAUGUAGUUCCUAUUUUAAAGAUGACACACGCGUCUUAAUUAACAGAUCUGUUUAUCGGUGCUGUUUAAGGUAAUAAUCACUGUUUACUCUGAGAAUAAUUCAGAACCCUGUUGGAAAACGAAGUUACUGAAUGGUAGAGACGUUAAAAUUUUGCUUUAAAGUGUUUAAGUGGCCCUUAAAAUGAUUUGAAGUGAAUGUCUCGUAGGCCCUGUACAUAGUUAUUAUAUAAAAGUACGAAAUACCGUAAAUAAGCAAAAAAAUUUUAAAAAUCUGAUACUCGUUUUCAUAAAUACGCCAUAUAUAUGUAUGACGUUAAUUAAAGUGACUUUUAAGAUGAUCCAGAAUUGACCGAAAUUUAUUGUAGAUUAGGAAGCCGACUUCGAUCAAAGCCUUUUGCUAUGCGAACGAAGCAACAUGACGAAAGUAAUAGUUAAGUAAGCUUAGUUUUUUUUUAGUACUAAGUAGUUCAGUUAGAAUUUCUCGCAAACGAUGAAAAUAAAAUUAGGAAAUGUACACACAGCCGUGCAGGGACAUAUUAACUUGACAAGAGGCGACAGAACGGGUUUAUUUUUAUGGGUGUAGCACACGGAAGGUUCACAGAGAAUUAAAAUCGGUCUCAAAGCGACAUAUCUCGUUCGUAGCAUGAUAAGUGUAAGCUGUAAUGUGUAACGCUAACUUCUGAUACUUUACGUGACUUUUUCGGACACUGGAGAUCGCUGAGGUUCGUGGAUACUGUUCUUAUUCACCCCAUGGGACAGCGGGAGGUCACUCUCCAGACGGAACAAGAAUGGUUUUAGUUUGGGAUCGAAUAUCGGCCUUCCAAAUAGGACGAGAGCACGCAAUCGCGUGAUCCACAAAGAUCGAGUCGAGCGAAAAGUAUACGUGAAAGGCGAGAACAUGUGAAGGCUCUAUAUAGCGUGUCCAUAUAUUGUGGAUUAAACGGUUAACGUGCAGACAGGAGUUUUUAAACCCUCCAAGCAAUUUUUCUCGUCCUGUAAAUUUACAACGAGGUAUUGAAGAAGAAAUUUAAUUUAUUUAAGCUUCAAUUCUAUUAUCUGGUUAUUUGAUACAACUUUGUCUUAUUGCUUUAGUACAGUGUUAAAUAUUUGUUUCUUGUUCUAAAUAAAUGAAAAUAAUAUUAAAAGCAGAAAUCCAGGACCUUCGGUUUUCCUCUGUCAGUGUCAAUCCACUGAUACUCCUGUAAUCACUCAUGUAUCAUCUAGGUUAGUGUUAUCAAACUGUUUUCAUUCCUCGGUCCAAGAAUAGUUCUCUCUUUGAACCCAAGGGCCAAGAACCCCACCUGGAACUGUGUUUGAAAAGUAAGCCAAGUUUAAUUAUCUUUAACAAUAUUACUCAGAAAAACCAAAUUACGAUAGAAAAUACUCGAAUAUAAAUGUUAUCGAAAUGUGCAAAAAUUACUAUAGAUUUGCGUGUUAUAUUAAAUGUUAUUUUGAAACAUCGUGUAUCUGACACAGUUUCUACCCACAAAAUUUUCAUCUUAUGGCACUUGUACCUAAAUAAGCUGACUGAAAAAAUAAUAAAAUAUAUUUUUAUUACAUUCUUUGGAGUAGGAAAAUGAAUGAAGUACCCCAAUGAUUUCAGUAGUGACUGCUUACAAAUUAGGAAAUAAUUGCACUGCCCUAGUUACAAGUUUUCUCGAGCCGGGUGUGUCCCGCGGUCCCCUGGGGUUGUACAGUGGAUCCCAUGGCUACUUCAGUUCUAUACAAACAUGGCGUAACUCAAUUAUAACAGUAAUAUUAGUAAAUGCAACCAUGCACGUGUGACGGACAUAGCUUAAUCAUCAUAGGAAUACAUUGUGUCCAUUUCAGAUAAUGUUGCUUCUUGCAACAGUGUUAAUUCUGUGUCAGAUCGUAUCAUGUUAGUUGAGAGGGCGCAAUGGCUAAACGUAAGCAUUUCCAUGCAUUUGGUUCUCGUGGUAGUAGGAUUGCAACGUGGAAUCGGUGGAAUCAUCCGUGUGACCUUGUCGACCAAUCACAAUUUGUCUUGAGCGUAAGGAACACCGAGGGGUGGGGGGUGGAUAACUCGACCAGCGAUGCAAAAGCCAGUUUCGAGUUAUGGCCGAGUGUUGUGCGCGUGGGAAUUGUUUUCAUUGUUUAAUAAAAGCAGUUUUUAUAGCUUUAAACAAGCAAAUAAUGUUGUGUGUUAGUUGUUUAAUAACAGAACACUUGCUGUUAAUUGUUACAAAACAUCGUUCGUUCGAAACGUGCAAGGGAUGACAUCAUCAUUACAAAAUUUUAAAUAAGUGAAAUGGCUAGACAGUGUCGGUGCAUGUUUACUUGGAGUAGCUGCUUCUAGUAGGUUGUUAAUGUUUGUUAGAUCAAAUUUAGUGUGUCUAAUUAAUUGGAACAACAUUUUAAUGAAACUUUACUUUGGUGUGAACUACCAUACUACUUCACGGACGUUGGAGAUGCGAAAACAAAGAGGUGCAAACACCCUGUAGCAGAGUUUAAUCACACAUUACAAAGUCAGUUGCAGGAUAUGGACUCGAUUGUUGCGACCUCGUUUGUGGCAGCAAUGUGUAAUACUGAGUGAAGGGGACAUUAUCAAGAUGUACUUCUUUGAGGGCCAUUUACGAAGGGGCUUUACCAUGGAUGAAGAGGUUAGUCGUCGCCUUUUCACAGCGAAGUCCUGUGUUCGCG